rnacentral:rRNA from 1 species
UACGUAGGGUGCGAGCGUUGUCCGGAAUUAUUGGGCGUAAAGAGCGUGUAGGCGGCCAUGUAGGUCCGUUGUGAAAACUCGAGGCUCAACCUCGAGACGCCGAUGGAAACCAUAUGGCUAGAGUCCGGAAGAGGAGAGUGGAAUUCCUGGUGUAGCGGUGAAAUGCGCAGAUAUCGGGAGGAACACCCGUAGCGAAGGCGGCACUCUGGGCCGGAACUGACGCUGAGGAGCGAAAGCGUGGGGAGCAAACAGG